GAUGAACGCUGGCGGCGUGCCUAAUACAUGCAAGUCGAGCGAACGGACGAGAAGCUUGCUUCUCUGAUGUUAGCGGCGGACGGGUGAGUAACACGUGGAUAACCUACCUAUAAGACUGGGAUAACUUCGGGAAACCGGAGUUAAUACCGGAUAAUAUUUUGAACCGCAUGGUUCAAAAUGGAAAAAGGACUUUCUUUUCCUUAAUAAUUGGUUCGGCGCUGCAUUAGCUAGUUGGUAAGGUAACGGCUUACCAAGGCAACGAUGCAUAGCCGACCUGAGAGGGUGAUCGGCCACACUGGAACUGAGACACGGUCCAGACUCCUACGGGAGGCAGCAGUAGGGAAUCUUCCGCAAUGGGCGAAAGCCUGACGGAGCAACGCCGCGUGAGUGAUGAAGGUCUUCGGAUCGUAAAACUCUGUUAUUAGGGAAGAACAUAUGUGUAAGUAACUGUGCACAUCUUGACGGUACCUAAUCAGAAAGCCACGGCUAACUACGUG
rnacentral:rRNA from 1 species